rnacentral:rRNA from 1 species
AGCAGCCGCGGUAAUUCCAGCUCCAAUAGCGUAUAUUAAAGUUGUUGCAGUUAAAAAGCUCGUAGUUGAAUUUCGGGAUCAGCAGGUCGGUCGUGCCACUGGUAUGCACUGGCCUUGCUGAUUCCUCCCUCUUGAUGAGCCGUAAUGCCAUUAAUUUGGUGUUGCGGGGAAUCAGGACUGUUACUUUGAAAAAAUUAGAGUGUUUAAAGCAGGCAUGCGCUUGAAUACAUUAGCAUGGAAUAAUGAAAUGGGACGUUCGAUCCUAUUUUGUUGGUUUCUAGGAUUGACGUAAUGAUUAAUAGGGAUAGUUGGGGGCAUUAGUAUUCAAUUGUCAGAGGUGAAAUUCUUGGAUUUAUUGAAGACUAACUACUGCGAAAGCAUUUGCCAAGGAUGUUUUCAUUAAUCAAGAACGAAAGUUAGGGGAUCGAAGACGAUCAGAUACCGUCGUAGUCUUAACCAUAAACUAUGCCGACUAGGGAUCGGAUGAUGUUAAUUUUUUAAUGACUCAUUCGGCGCCUUA